AUUGAACGCUGGCGGCAGGCUUAACACAUGCAAGUCGAGCGGAGAUGAGGUGCUUGCACCUUAUCUUAGCGGCGGACGGGUGAGUAAUGCUUAGGAAUCUGCCUAUUAGUGGGGGACAACAUUCCGAAAGGAAUGUUAAUACCGCAUACGUCCUACGGGAGAAAGCAGGGGAUCUUCGGACAUUGCGCUAAUAGAUGAGCCUAAGUCGGAUUAGCUAGUUGGUGGGGUAAAGGCCUACCAAGGCGACGAUCUGUAGCGGGUCUGAGAGGAUGAUCCGCCACACUGGGACUGAGACACGGCCCAGACUCCUACGGGAGGCAGCAGUGGGGAAUAUUGGACAAUGGGGGGAACCCUGAUCCAGCCAUGCCGCGUGUGUGAAGAAGGCCUUAUGGUUGUAAAGCACUUUAAGCGAGGAGGAGGCUACUGAGACUAAUACUCUUGGAUAGUGGACGUUACUCGCAGAAUAAGCACCGGCUAACUCUGUGCCAGCCGCCGCGGUAA
rnacentral:rRNA from 1 species